rnacentral:rRNA from 1 species
UACGAAGGGGGCUAGCGUUGCUCGGAAUUACUGGGCGUAAAGGGCGCGUAGGCGGAUAGUUUAGUCAGAGGUGAAAGCCCAGGGCUCAACCUUGGAAUUGCCUUUGAUACUGGCCAUCUUGAGUUCGGGAGAGGUGAGUGGAAUGCCGAGUGUAGAGGUGAAAUUCGUAGAUAUUCGGCGGAACACCAGUGGCGAAAGGCGACUCACUGGCCCGAUACUGACGCU